GUCAUGACCAUGACCAUGACCAUGACCAUGACCAUGAUGGAGUCUCUAGACUGGGUAAAUUCGGGUGGGAAAUCCCAAUCUAAAUAUGGGCAGCACCAUGGGCUGAAAUCCUGGACACAAUGAAAAAGAGAAACUACACACUGGGACCAGAAGAUCCUGCCAUCUAAGAUCCUGCCACCCUAAGAUCCUGCCAUCUCGCCUUCCUCACCGUCACAGAUACAGCACAGCAUCAGCAGCUCUGGGCAUCAAUCAGCUCCACUCCAGACAAGAGGAGUAGAGAACUUCACGGCACCCAUGCUCGGCAUCCCCUUUUACCAGGACAACAAAAGUCCAUUCUAAAACAUGAACUAGGAAACAGCCUACAAUUGAUCUCAAGUGAAGCCAAUAAAACCUAGCUUUAGUGUC
rnacentral:lncRNA from 1 species